AUGUGCGGAAGAGAUAACCGCUGAAAGCAUCUAAGCGGGAAACUCGCCUCAAGAUGAGACGUCCCGGAGGGUUAACCUCCCUGAAGGGUCGUGGAAGACCACCACGUUGAUAGGCCGGAUGUGCAAGAGGAGUAAUCCUUUCAGCUAACCGGUACUAAUUGCCCGUGCGGCUUGACCCUAUAACCUU
rnacentral:rRNA from 1 species